CACGUAGGGUGCGAGCGUUGUCCGGAAUUAUUGGGCGUAAAGAGCUCGUAGGCGGUGUGUCACGUCGGCCGUGUAAACCUACAGCUUAACUGUGGGCGUGCGGUCGAUACGGGCAUCACUGGAGUUCGGCAGGGGAGACUGGAAUUCCUGGUGUAGCGGUGAAAUGCGCAGAUAUCAGGAGGAACACCAGUGGCGAAGGCGGCUCACUGGUCCGGUACUGACGCUGAGGUGCGAAAGCGUGGGGAGCAAACAGG
rnacentral:rRNA from 1 species